AGCAAUUCUGAUAACCAUGGGUAAUUAUAAAGGUCGUCAACAAUAGAUAAACAAUUCAACUUAUAACUUGACAAAGUAUAGUUGGAAAUUCAUCUAUCCAUACAAAGUGUUUUUGUAUCAGUACAGCAUCAUUAUUAACCAUGGAAUUUAUAGCUGAAGAUCUUGAAAAAGACGGAUUCACUCUGAUAGAAAAUCUGUUCACACCCGAAGAAUGUAAUGAAAUGGUCGACGAAAUAAGACAGAUAAUAAAAAAUACCAAUGAUGCAACAAAGAAAGUAGUAUUUAAAGCUUCAACACAAAACGAUGCACCACAGUCGAAAGAAAAAUAUUUCUUAGAUAGCUCUCAUAAAAUAAGCUUCUUCUACGAAGAAGGAUCUGUGGACACUAAUGGAAAGCUCACUGUUGAUGAGGAGUAUUUGGGCCUCAACAAAAUUGGACAUGCCUUACAUUUCCUCAAUCCAGUAUUCAAAAAAUAUACAUUUGACGAAAGAAUAAAAAAUAUUUGCCGAAAAUUAAAUCUAAUUGACCCCAAAAUAUGUCAAAGCAUGUUCAUAUUCAAAAACCCCAGGAUAGGGGGUGAAGUUGCCCCCCACCAAGACGCAUCAUAUUUAUACACUUCCCCACAAAAUCUUUAUGGAAUUUGGAUUGCUCUUGAAGAUGCCACCAUAGAAAAUGGAUGUCUCUGGUUUCAAAAAGGUUCUCAUAAAGGUCCUCUCUUUAGACGAUUCAUAAAAAAUCCAGAUAAAACAUCGGGUACCCUCACAAUUUACACUGGAGAAAAUUUAAACUUCAAAGAAACAGACUUUGCUCCCGUAGCAGUUAAGAAAGGAACCUGUGUGGUCAUUCACGGAAAAGUAUUGCACUUCAGCAAGCCUAAUACCUCACAACUAUCAAGAAAUAUUUACACUUUCCACAUAUAUGAAGGGCACAAGACGACAUUUUCUGAGGAGAAUUGGACACAACCUCCAUAUCUAUCAAUAUUUUAAAAUUGAAUAAAUAUUAACCAGAUAUAUGUGAAGAAUAAAGUGCUUUCAUUGCUAUUAGCUUGAUUCAAAUUAUCAAUUUCAACAACCAACAUGAAAUGAACAUUUCUAUUUUGUUACGUAUGAAAUAGUUGAGAACAUCAGUAGAAUUAUAUUGUUGAGUUUCAAAUAAUCGGUUUGAAUUGGGAUUAGCAUCACUACUCAUGCAAAUACUAAUGAAAACAAAAACAUUUAAUUAA